UUGGAGGGCAAGUCUGGUGCCAGCAGCCGCGGUAAUUCCAGCUCCAAUAGCGUAUAUUAAAGUUGUUGCAGUUAAAAAGCUCGUAGUUGAAUUUCGGGGUCAGCAGGUUGGUCGUGCCAAUGGCAUGAACUGGCCUUGCUGAUUCCUCCCUCUUGAUGAGCCGUAAUGCCAUUAAUUUGGUGUUGCGGGGAAUCAGGACUGUUACUUUGAAAAAAUUAGAGUGUUUAAAGCAGGCAAGCGCUUGAAUACAUUAGCAUGGAAUAAUGAAAUAGGACGUUUGAUCCUAUUUUGUUGGUUUCUAGGAUUGACGUAAUGAUUAAUAGGGAUAGUUGGGGGCAUUAGUAUUCAAUUGUCAGAGGUGAAAUUCUUGGAUUUAUUGAAGACUGACUACUGCGAAAGCAUUUGCCAAGGAUGUUUUCAUUAAUCAAGAACGAAAGUUAGGGGAUCGAAGACGAUCAGAUACCGUCGUAGUCUUAACCAUAAACUAUGCCGACUAGGGAUCGGAUGAUGUUAAUUUUUUAAUGACUCAUUCGGCGCCUUACGGGAAACCAAAGUGUUUGGGUUC
rnacentral:rRNA from 1 species